AUUGAACGCUGGCGGCAGGCUUAACACAUGCAAGUCGAGCGGAGAUGAGGUGCUUGCACCUUAUCUUAGCGGCGGACGGGUGAGUAAUGCUUAGGAAUCUGCCUAUUAGUGGGGGACAACAUUCCGAAAGGAAUGCUAAUACCGCAUACGCCCUACGGGGGAAAGCAGGGGAUCUUCGGACCUUGCGCUAAUAGAUGAGCCUAAGUCGGAUUAGCUAGUUGGUGGGGUAAAGGCCUACCAAGGCGACGAUCUGUAGCGGGUCUGAGAGGAUGAUCCGCCACACUGGGACUGAGACACGGCCCAGACUCCUACGGGAGGUAGCAGUGGGGAAUAUUGGACAAUGGGCGGAGGCCUGAUCCAGCCAUGCCGCGUGUGUGAAGAAGGCCUUUUGGUUGUAAAGCACUUUAAGCGAGGAGGAGGCUACCUGGAUUAAUACUCUAGGAUAGUGGACGUUACUCGCAGAAUAAGCACCGGCUAACUCUGUGCCAGCAGCCGCUGUAAAAC
rnacentral:rRNA from 1 species